rnacentral:misc_RNA from 1 species
UCUCUCCUUAUGGCUUGUCCAACGUUCCAACUUUGAGCGUCCUCUUCUCGAAUCUUGUAGUUCAUCAUCAGACGAUGCAUCUUCCUUGCGUCUUUUGGGAGAGUUGAGUUGCACUGCAAUAUCAUUCUCCACAUUUCCUUUCUCAGCCACACCAUUCAACCCCUAAGCAAGCAGAAACAAUCAAGAACAACCAAGCUAAACUCAGGGAUACUCUCCACAUGAACAAGUGGUCAGAAUCAGAUCAGCUUGUGCUCUACCUUAAUGGCAGUAACUAAGAAACGAAGUACAUGUAUCACAUUUAAAUUUUAACGACCUCAUUGCAAACUCUUGUACAAAUGGUGAACAAAAAUUAAAUGAAAAUAGCUUCCCCACAAAAAGAACAAAAAUCUAGUUUAUACUCCCAUUGCGAGCUCAAUUUAUGGCCAUCUUAACUACCAAAAUGGCUAUGAAUGCCUAAGUGGGAAUUUAAGAUUUGCCCUGCUGCUAGCCCAAGCACCUAAAAUCUCCAAUCUACCUGUUAUCGAUCAGAUAUUGAGAUUUCAUUCACCACACGUGUUGCCCCACAAAAACCCAUACAGAUACAACUCUAAAAGCAAUUUGUCAUCUUUGCAAUAAAGGUUAUCACCAUUAUAUAAACUACUGCACUGAUAAUUAUCAAACAUAAAGGAAAAGAAGGGGUAGAGAGAGAGAGAGAGAG